UCACCCUUUCUCGUUUUCUCCUCCCCAACUGGCGGCUAGGGUUAACGCGGCCGUGCCGCCGCCACCGCCUUCUUCACCGCACCGCCCCUUUUCUCUUGUUUCCCCUCCCUGGUGCUCCGCCGCCGCCUCCUUUCUCCACCAAAUCCACUCCGUCCUCAUCCUCUCCAAUCACUGCCGUCGAGGUUCUAGCGUGACAGGGUCGCGGGCAAAGAGGACGAGGCUGAGUCACGGGCGGAGGUCGGGCGCCAUCAGGAGAGCCGAUGGGCGGCGGUGCACGAUCUGGCAGGCGCGACCUGCACGAGCAACACGGCCGACGAGGCACAUGUUGCAGGCCAAGAGCGAUUGGAGGCGAGGUGACUGCGUUCACCAGGACGCCGUUGCAGAUCCUCGUCGUUUCUUCGGGAGAGGAGCUCAUUGAUGAUCCCCUCUUGUCCAUGGAUUCGCGACGGAGGUGCUCGAGGAGGAGCUUCUUCCCUAGACGCCAUGGAAAUCGUCAAGGUGUGCCUUUACUCCCCCUUCCCGGGUAUGCUAGGUGUUGGAUGAUGUUUUGGCAUUUAAUCUGCAGAAUCUCGAUUCCUUGAUUCCCCCCGUACUGAAUAGUUGUAAUGCAGUUUAAGCUCUCAAUCAUAUAUGGUCAUGAUGUUUCUACUUCUAUUCAUAAAACUUCAAAUACUUAGGCUGCAAAACAUAAACUUGUGCUUCCACUUUGAGGUGGAACAGCAGGUUAAGGGAGCAUUCUUCAAAAAAAAAAAAUUGGAUUCAACGGAAUCGCAGUAGUGUAGAGAAUUAAAGCACUCAAGGUCUCUGGAGGAUCGAUGGAGAGAACGGCAGUUUAAGACAUGGAUAUUGCUGUCGGAGCACAUUUAAAGGGAUGGAAGUUUCUGUAUCUUAACCAUGUUGAGGUACUUGAAUAACGUCUCUUAUGGUUUAUGACUUUUCUGUUUGGUAUUCAAACCUUUACUGAUCAUUCAAACUGCGCUACAUGAAUUUCCCUUUCAGUUCCAGUGUGAAUUGCCGGAGUCAUAUAUGAAGCAUACAUGAAACAAUAACAUCAAUAGCGUUCUGGUCCAGUGUAGUUGUUUAGACUCUGCUUUGUAGACAUUACCAAAUCAAAGGUACUCCCUCCGUCCGAAAAAGCUUGUCUCCCAAAUGAAUGUAUCUAGCACAAAGUUAGUGCUAGAUACAUCCGUUUGAGGAACAAGUUUGGGACAAGCUUUUUCGGACGGAGGAAGUAUUAACUUGGGCGUAUUUUGAAAGGUGAGUUUUUUUUUCUGGGAAAAAAAGAUGAGUUGAACUGCAUUAUGUAGAGCACGUUGUUCAAAAUUUAGUUCUAUUCUAAGCAUACUUGGUUUAGGUUUGUCCUUUUCUUGUGGCUGACAAGAUUUUACCUGCACUCAGUUGGAUAAUUAAGUAAAGUAUGAUUAGUAUGACAAGUCACAUCGGUAGGAUGAAUAUUUACAAGGUUGAUUAUUUCCCAGGAAGAGCAAGUAGGAUGUAUGUUUGCAAGUUUUCCAUAACUAAAUUAUACAAGUAUACCUUUUUUUGUUUGAAGUUUGGUAGUUAAAAUCAUUUUGAGUCGCCUAUUGUUUAAUGGUUCUAUUUUGAUCAUAUAAUUAGAUUUAUAUCUUGACUCGCUCGCUUUGAUAAAUUUCAUUCUUACCAAGGGUCAUCAUGUAUGUAUUGAGUUGUUUCUUGAUAUAAUGUGAGAAGAAUAUCAAUUCUUAAAUUGCACUGUAAGCAUGUAUCAUCUACAAAUACUAUGUCGUGUACACGGCCGAGUUCAUGGUGGAUGCCUGCUUCGGCGAGCCGGGCGCUAGCGUGGUGGCCAUCCGGAACCACCGCAAUUUCUUCCUCGUCGAGGGCAGGGGGCUGCCUUGCGGCACUGUGCACUUCACCUGCAAAUCCUGGGUCUUCUUAAGCAACAAGGUACGUCUACUUCUUUUUUACUUCAGGUUCAGGAAGACAUGGACUUGCUAAAAAAAUUGGUAGCAUUGGGUUAUGAUCUUGACUUUGUGCCCUACUGCAGGACAUGUUCCCGUUCAUUUUAGUUCUAUAUUAUGAUUCAAAUAAUGUUUCUUUUAUGGUACUGUGGAAUUGAAUUGCACAGAAAAAAAAACACUUUCUCAUACAUUAAUUUGCAUUACAGACGUGUUUCCUGUAAUAAUGAAGUUCAGGGACGUCCUACCGUUACACAAUUAACAUACUUGUUCUGUUACAUUAAGCCACAGAAGUAUUCUUCUUCCAGACUAUAGAUUUAGUAAUGUUUGUACACAGAAAAGGACACUUUCUCAUACAUUUGCUUGAAUUACAAACCUUUUUCCUGUAAUAACAAAAUUUAGUGUCACCCUAAUGUUGCACAAUUAACAGACCUAUUAAGACACUGAAGAAUUCUUGUUCAGAUUACAGUGACACAUAAGCACUAAAACAGGGUUUGGUCGGCUUGACAAUUUGGCAUGGGAAGAUGCUCGAAGGGGCGUGAUGUGUAACAGGUCGUAUAAGACACCUAGACUAGGAUGGUGGUCAGGUGGAUUAUACUCAAUGGUAGUACUAAGUGUUUUCUUUCAAUAUUAAUUAUGUAUGAUCAUAUACAAAUACAGUGUCCCAUGUUUCACAUUAAUGUUUCUUAUAGUACUGGAUAACCAGGUUUGGCUAGCCAAUAGGAGUCAAUUGGACAUAGGAAAGUACCCAGAGAGAGUAUACAUCAGGUCUGGUACUGAAAUAUGGUCUGGAUGUUCCAUCAUAUAUGUAUGCGCAUCCUCUUUCAUGUGAGACUGUUAUAACUAAGAUGUGGUCUGGCUGUUUAUUCUUGUGGGUCUUUAGCAUCUUUUUCGUGGAUCUUUGCCCGAAGGUUACGGAUUCCACUUUCUUUUGCUUUUUCUUGGCAUAUCUUGUCUGUUCGUGCGUGUUUGAUAACUCUGUGUACUUCAUCCCAUUUGUACAGUAUAUUUUGCCUUAUCACUUUAGUUUGAUAACUUAUGCGCAGAGAUGCUAGAAUUAUGUGGGAUCAGAAGACUGGACGGUCCAGAGGGUUGUUUCUUUUAGGAAUCAGCAGGGGGUUGGGAGCAGUGGACGACACCGGCGACGACCAAGACGACGACGUCCACGUGGUAACUGGCCAUGGCCGCCGCGAGUCGGAGCUCCUCGCGCUCACCAAGCUCCACCCGCCGCCGUCGUGAGGUGACCGACGACUUGAGCGCAAUGAGCGGGAGCUCCUGUCGCCAUGGACUCCGGGGGCCGCGCCGGAGCGGCGACUCACCGGCGGCCGUGCCCGGUGGUGGCUAGCGAGGCGUCCGAGCAGGGACAGCGGCCUUGCCCGGCGGCAACCACCUGCGAAGCGACGGUGGCGCGGCCUGGGCGGGGCGGCGGGGGCGCGGGAGGGGCGAAGAAAGAACUCGUCGAGCUCGGGCUGGGGUUCGAAGGAAGAAGGCGGAGAUCGCCGGGGUCGAGGUGGGCCAGAUCCAGUGAGGUGGAGGUCGUCCUCGCCGUCAGGAGGACUGGUCGGGUCGCCGGGGAAACGCCAUGGCGCACCCAUCUUCUUGUACGGGCGGCGGGUGGCGCGGGCGUGGCCGGGCGGCCAUGGCAGAGGCGAGCGGGCAGUUGGUCGCUCCAGCGUUCAUGGUGAAGUUCGCCUGAGUAUAUUGAAUCGGGGAAGACGAAGCUAUGGGGAAGACGUGUCCCGUAUACUCGCCUGUAGACUUGCGAUUUUAAUUGGCAUAUAUGUGUAUGUACGAGGGUUUGUGUUUGUACUGUAUUAAAAAUGUAUGCUUUUGACUUUUUUGUCAUGUAGGAUUGCCACCUCGGAUUAAUUGACAUUUAUUGUCGUCA